rnacentral:rRNA from 1 species
GAGUGGGGAAUAACAAUGGGAAACCGUUGCUAAUACCGCAUAUUCCCGAGAGGGGAAAGCAGCAAUGCGCUCAAGGAGGAGUCCGCGGCCGAUUAGCUUGUUGGUAGGGUAAUGGCCUACCAAGGCUGCGAUCGGUAGCCGGCCUGAGAGGGCACGCGGCCACACUGGCACUGAAACACGGGCCAGACUCCUACGGGAGGCAGCAGUGGGGAAUCUUGCACAAUGGAGGAAACUCUGAUGCAGCGACGCCGCGUGAGCGAUGAAGCCCUUCGGGGUGUAAAGCUCUUUCGGCAGGGAAGAUAAUGACGGUACCUGCAGAAGCAGCUGCGGCUAACUACGUGCCAGCAGCCGCGGUAAUACGUAGGCAGCAAGCGUUGUUCGGGAGUUACUGGGCGUAAAGGGUGUGUAGGCGGCUUUCUAAGUUUGUUGUGAAAUCUCCCGGCUUAACCGGGAGGGUGCGGCGAAGACUGGGAGGCUAGAGUAUGGGAUGGGAGAGUGGAAUUCCUGGGUGUAGCGGUGAAAUGCGUAGAUAUCAGGAGGAACACCUGCGGUGUAGACGGCUCUCUGGACCAUUACUGACGCUGAGACACGAAAGCGUGGGUAGCAAACAGGAUUAGAUACCCUGGUAGUCCACGCCCUAAACGAUGCAUAUUUGGUGUGGGCCAUUCAUUUGGUCUGUGCCGGAGCUAACGCGUUAAAUAUGCCGCCUGGGGAGUACAGUCGCAAGGCUGAAACUCAAAGGAAUUGACGGGGGCCCGCACAAGCGGUGGAGCAUGUGGUUCAAUUCGACGCAACGCGAAGAACCUUACCUAGGCUCGAAAUGCUUUGGACCAUCCCUGGAAACAGGGACUUUUCGCAAGAAACUGAAGUAUAGGUGCUGCAUGGCUGUCGUCAGCUCGUGUCGUGAGAUGUUGGGUUAAGUCCCGCAACGAGCGCAACCCUUGUCCUGUGUUGCCAUAUAUGGAACUCGCAGGAGACCGCCAGGGAUAACCUGGAGGAAGGUGGGGAUGACGUCAAGUCCUCAUGGCCUUUAUGUCUAGGGCUACACACGUGCUACAAUGGACGGUACAGAGGGUCGCCAACCCGCGAGGGGGAGCCAAUCCCAAAAAACCGUUCUCAGUUCGGAUUGCAGGCUGCAACUCGCCUGCAUGAAGCUGGAAUCGCUAGUAAUGCCGGAUCAGAACGCUGACGUGAAUACGUUCCCGGGCCUUGUACACACCGCCCGUCACAUCAC